rnacentral:pre_miRNA from 1 species
CUAGCACUCCCUCCGUUCGGAAUUACUUGUCUCGGAAAUGGAUGUAUCUAGAACUAAAAUAUGUCUAGAUACAUCCAUUUCUGCGACAAGUAAUUCCGAACGGAGGGAGUAUAUG